rnacentral:rRNA from 1 species
GACGAACGCUGGCGGCGUGCUUAACACAUGCAAGUCGAACGGAAAGGCCCUGCUUUUGUGGGGUGCUCGAGUGGCGAACGGGUGAGUAACACGUGAGUAACCUGCCCUUGACUUUGGGAUAACUUCAGGAAACUGGGGCUAAUACCGGAUAGGAGCUCCUGCUGCAUGGUGGGGGUUGGAAAGUUUCGGCGGUUGGGGAUGGACUCGCGGCUUAUCAGCUUGUUGGUGGGGUAGUGGCUUACGAAGGCUUUGACGGGUAGCCGGCCUGAGAGGGUGACCGGGCACAUUGCGACUGCGAGACGGCGCAGAAGCCUACGGGAGGCAGCGGUGGGGAAUAUGGCGCAAUGGGCGGAAGCCUGAUGCAGCGACGCCCCGAGCGGGAUAACGGGCUUCGGGUUAUAAACAGAUUUGGACUGAGAUGAAGAGAGAGUGACGGUAAUGGGUCAAGAAGCAACGGCUAACUACGUG